rnacentral:lncRNA from 1 species
UGGAGGUGGUGCAACAUUUUCUGAGGUAGGGUUUUCUGGAUUUGGAUAGUAGGGUGGAGGUGGAUACAUUGGGUACUGAGAGUAUGGUGGGUAGUAUGGUGGGUAUGGCAUCUGUGUGGGAUAAGGGGUGAAACUAGGGUAAUCCGAUGUACCUCCCAUCGAAUACCCGGGAUGUGGCGAGAAAUGUGGGUAGUGAGGUGGCUGUACAAAUCCCGAGGCCUGAGUGCCUCCUUGGGAC